ACAAAGGGUAGGGAGCUCCUUUCAGUCCAAUACAGAGGGCUGAGACUCGGACCGAGCUGCCAUCUCAUGCACCAGGCUAUGCUCAAUCGUUUCGGCCACUAGUUGGAGGGAUCAAUCGGGUUGGCUAACCAAUCAAUCAAAGGUUGAGUCUAGCUAAGUGCAUGGUGUGGGAGCAACUCCUUCCGUUGUGCUCCGCUCAUUGAUUGGACUGAAGGGAGCUCCUAUAGCACCUCUC
rnacentral:pre_miRNA from 1 species